GAAACACGGACCAAGGAGUGCAAGAGGCGUGCGAGUCUUUGGGUGGUCGUGCAAACCCUUUGGCGCAAUGAAAGUGAAGGCGGCAGCCCCGCUGCCGCCGAGGCGAGAGCCGGCCGAGCCGGCGCAUCGUCGACCGAUCCGCAGCUACUCCGUAGCGGGGUUCGAGUGAGAGCGUGUCUGUUGCGACCCGAAAGAUGGUGAACUAUGCCUGAAUGGGGCGAAGCCAGAGGAAACUCUGGUGGAAGCUCGCAGCGGUUCUGACGUGCAAAUCGAUCGUCAAAUUUGGGUAUAGGGGCGAAAGACUAAUCGAACCGUCUAGUAGCUGGUUCCCUCCGAAGUUUCCCCCAGGAUAGCUGGAGCCCGGUGCAGUUUUAUCAGGUAAAGCGAAUGAUUAGAGGUCUUGGGGUUGAAACAACCUCAACCUAUUCUCAAACUUUAAAUGGGUAAGAGGCUCGGCUUGCUCGGUUGAAGUCGGGCGGCAGAAUGCCGGGGCUCCUAGUGGGCCAUUUUUGGUAAGCAGAACUGGCGAUGCGGGAUGAACCGAACGCCGGGUUAAGGUGCCCGAAUCGACGCUCAUCAGAACCCAUAAAAGGUGUUGGUUGAUUUAGACAGCAGGACGGUGGCCAUGGAAGUCGGAAUCCGCUAAGGAGUGUGUAACAACUCACCUGCA
rnacentral:rRNA from 1 species